AUUGAACGCUGGCGGAAUGCUUUACACAUACAAGUCGAACGGUAGAGGGGGCAACCCCUCGAGAGUGGCGAACGGGUGAGUAAUAUAUCGGAACGUGCCCAGUCGUGGGGGAUAACGUAGCGAAAGUUACGCUAAUACCGCAUACGAUCUAAGGAUGAAAGCGGGGGAUCGCAAGACCUCGCGCGAUUGGAGCGGCCGAUAUCAGAUUAGGUAGUUGGUGGGGUAAAGGCUCACCAAGCCAACGAUCUGUAGCUGGUCUGAGAGGACGACCAGCCAAACUGGAACUGAGACACGGUCCAGACUCCUACGGGAGGCAGCAGUGGGGAAUUUUGGACAAUGGACGCAAGUCUGAUCCAGCCAUUCCGCGUGCAGGAUGAAGGCCCUCGGGUUGUAAACUGCUUUUGUACGGAACGAAAAGGUCUCUCUUAAUACGGGGGGCUCAUGACGGUACCGUUAGAAUAAGCACCGGCUAACUACGUGCCAGCAGCCGCCGUAA
rnacentral:rRNA from 1 species